rnacentral:rRNA from 1 species
GUUGUAUAGUCAAGUGAAGAAGCGCAUACGGUGGAUGCCUUGGCAGUCAGAGGCGAUGAAAGACGUGGUAGCCUGCGAAAAGCUUCGGGGAGUCGGCAAACAGACUUUGAUCCGGAGAUCUCUGAAUGGGGGAACCCACCUAGGAUAACCUAGGUAUCUUGUAC